rnacentral:rRNA from 1 species
UCAGAGGUGAAAUCCUACAGCUCAACUGUGGAACUGCCUUUGAUACUGAUAGACUUGAGUUAUUGUGAAGUGAUUAGAAUGUGUGGUGUAGCGGUGAAAUGCAUAGAUAUCACACAGAAUACCGAUUGCGAAGGCAGAUCACUAACAAUAUACUGACGCUCAUGGACGAAAGCGUGGGGAGCGAACAGGAUUAGAUACCCUGGUAGUCCACGCCGUAAACGAUGGAUACUAGCUGUUCGUCUAACAUUGGUUAGAUGAGUGGCUAAGCGAAAGUGAUAACUAUCCCACCUGGGGAGUACGGUCGCAAGACUGAAACUCAAAUGAAUUGACGG